rnacentral:rRNA from 1 species
CAUCAGCCACGGUAAUACGAAGGGGGCUAGCGUUGCUCGGAAUCACUGGGCGUAAAGGGUGCGUAGGCGGGUCUUUAAGUCAGGGGUGAAAUCCUGGAGCUCAACUCCAGAACUGCCUUUGAUACUGAAGAUCUUGAGUUCGGGAGAGGUGAGUGGAACUGCGAGUGUAGAGGUGAAAUUCGUAGAUAUUCGCAAGAACACCAGUGGCGAAGGCGGCUCACUGGCCCGAUACUGACGCUGAGGCACGAAAGCGUGGGGAGCAAACAGGAUUAGAUACCCGCGUAGUCCCUGUCUCUUAUAC